rnacentral:rRNA from 1 species
UCGGGAAUUUUGGGCAAUGGGCGAAAGCCUGACCCAGCAACGCCGCGUGAGGGAUGAAGUAUUUCGGUAUGUAAACCUCGAAAGAAUGGGAAGAAUAAAUGACGGUACCAUUUAUAAGCUCCGGCUAACUACGUGCCAGCAGCCGCGGUAAUACGUAGGGAGCAAGCGUUGUUCGGAUUUACUGGGCGUAAAGGGCGCGUAGGCGGCGCGGUAAGUCACUUGUGAAAUCUCUGAGCUUAACUCAGAACAGCCAAAUGAUACUGCUGUGCUAGAGUGCGGAAGAGGCAACCGGAAUUCUUGGUGUAGCGGUGAAAUGCGUAGAUAUCAAGAGGAACACCUGAGGCGAAGGCGGGUUGCUGGGCCGACACUGACGCUGAUGCGCGAAAGCCAGGGGAGCAAACG